rnacentral:rRNA from 1 species
AUGCUGGGGUGGCUUUGCUGCGUGGCCGGUGGAGGAACGUUGGGUGAUGAACGCCUGGAAGUGAUCGGGGGAGGGGCGCUUCGCGACCUCUGGACGGCAGCAGCAGCAAGACCGGCUCCAGUAGGCGUCGGCAUUCGGUACCAUGGUCGACGGAGAGAGAGGUUUUUUUUUCCUUUUUUCUUUCCUGUGUGCUUAGUCAGCGGUCAAUGUGGUGACCAUGCAGGUGAGGCUGUGCUUGAGCAUCUAUUAGACCUACCUGCAAAUGAAACAGCUAUGUUGGGACAGGAACGAAGAAAGCUACGUAGUUCACAAGGAGCAGACAAAACAGCCUUGCAGCAAACUUCAUCGCUGCCUCAAAGCCGAAAGCAAAAAUCCAGAGAAACCCUUGAGUACGACCGUCUGUCGAGACAGUAA